UACGGAGGGUGCUAGCGUUGUUCGGAAUCACUGGGCGUAAAGGGCGUGUAGGCGGUCUGUUAAGUCUGAUGUGAAAUCCCCUCGCUCAACGAGGGAACUGCGUCGGAUACUGGCAGACUUGAGUACCGGAGAGGAAGGUGGAAUUCCCGGUGUAGCGGUGAAAUGUGUAGAGAUCGGGAGGAACACCGGUGGCGAAGGCGGGUCUCUGGGCAAUUCCUGACGCUGAGGCGCGAAAGCGUGGGGAGCAAACGGG
rnacentral:rRNA from 1 species